ensembl:lncRNA
AUCAGGUCUCGUCAAUAAUGGUCAAUCAUAACUCAAUUAAUCACUUAAUUAUCUCAUUAACUUUAACUCUGAUUCAGUGUUAAUUUAACACUCCUAUUUUAACACUUUCACACUCUUGAGUGUGGUCUCACAUGUACUCCCAGCAGAGUUAAUUUCACUCUGGAUUUUUUGCUGUGUGGAAGAUGGAGACAAGCACUGUCAGUAACUUUACUCUGAAUGAUCAGCCUUAUGUAUAAGAUCCUCAUGCCUCAACUGUACCAUUGCCCAAAGUGCACUCGAAGGACAUUCACUCUUUUGAAGUUAAUCCAACAUGUUGAACCAAAAAUUAGUAUAACCUAUGGUAUAGAUGAGUGCCAGUCACCUUUUUUGUGAUUCCAUUCUUUUAGAAAACAUGCACAGACUGGAAGUCUGUCAGUCCAGAUGUGAGGAGGACACACAGAGUGAGUUUGAGCUCAGCAGAUGUGAUGGCUGUAGAUACUGUGGUCUUGGAAAGAAGGGGGUCUUCACAGCUUUCUAUUCAGACAAAGAGUUUGCUGGAUUCUGAGUUUCUAUGGACUGCUACUACAGAAUGAAUGAGUGAGUGGUUUAUCUAUCUAUCUAUCUAUCUAUCUAUCUAUCUAUCUAUCUAUCUAUAUUAUUUUUUUUUACUUGAAUUGGCAACUGAAACUGAAAGCUAAAUAAAUGUUUUAGUGGAUAAAGCUAUGUCUGUUUG